GAUGAAGAACGUAGCGAAAUGCGAUAAGUAAUGUGAAUUGCAGAAUCCCGUGAACCAUCGAGUCUUUGAACGCAAGUUGCGCCUCAAGCCAUUAGGUUGAGGGCACGUCUGCCUGGGCGUCACAUAUCGUUGCCUGAUGCCAGUUUCCUCGUGAUGGGUGACUGUGCAGGGCGAAUGAUGGCUUCCCGUGAGCAUUGUUGCCUCAUGGUUGGUUGAAAAUUGAGUCCUUGGUAGGGAGCGCCGUGAUAGAUGGUGAUUGAGUGACGAACGAGACCCAAUCAUGUGAGACCCCUACCGAAUUUGGCCUUCAUGACCCACAUGCGUCUUUGGAACGCUCAUGACGAGACCUCAGGUCAGGCGGGGCUACCCGCUGAGUUUAAGCAUAUCAAUAAGCGGAGGA
rnacentral:misc_RNA from 1 species